rnacentral:rRNA from 1 species
CACGUAGGAGGCGAGCGUUAUCCGGAUUCACUGGGCGUAAAGCGCGUGCAGGCGGUUUGGUAAGUUGAUCGUGAAAGCUCCCGGCUCAACUGGGAGAGGUCGGUCAAUACUACCGAACUAGAGAGUAGAAGAGGAAGAUGGAAUUCCCGGUGUAGUGGUGAAAUGCGUAGAUAUCGGGAGGAACACCAGUGGCGAAGGCGAUCUUCUGGUCUAUUUCUGACGCUCAGACGCGACAGCUAGGGUAGUAAACGGG